AGCAGCCGCGGUAAUUCCAGCUCCAAUAGCGUAUAUUAAAGUUGUUGCAGUUAAAAAGCUCGUAGUUGAAUUUCGGGGUUAGUAGAUUGGUCAUGCCUCUGGUAUGCACUGGUCUCACUGAUUCCUCCUUCCUGAUGAGCCGUAAUGCCAUUAAUUUGGUGUUGCGGGGAAUUUGGACUGUUACUUUGAAAAAAUUAGAGUGUUUAAAGCAAGCUAACGCUUGAAUACAUUAGCAUGGAAUAAUGAAAUAGGACGUUCGAUCCUAUUUUGUUGGUUUCUAGGAUUGACGUAAUGAUUAAUAGGGAUAGUUGGGGGCAUUAGUAUUCAAUUGUCAGAGGUGAAAUUCUUGGAUUUAUUGAAGACUAACUACUGCGAAAGCAUUUGCCAAGGAUGUUUUCAUUAAUCAAGAACGAAAGUUAGGGGAUCGAAGACGGUCAGAUACCGUCGUAGUCUUAACCAUAAACUAUGCCGACUAGGGAUCGGAUGAUGUUAAUUUUUUAAUGACUCAUUCGGCGCCUUACG
rnacentral:rRNA from 1 species